GGUGGUUCUCAGAUGAUGUACCUUGGAAAUAGGCUUCCUCCUCUCUGGUUCCAGGAUGCGACACCUGAGAACUGCC
rfam:Myotis davidii contig64299, whole genome shotgun sequence.